rnacentral:rRNA from 1 species
GACGAACGCUGGCGGCGUGCCUAAUACAUGCAAGUAGAACGCACAGUUUAUACCGUAGCUUGCUACACCAUAGACUGUGAGUUGCGAACGGGUGAGUAACGCGUAGGUAACCUGCCUGGUAGCGGGGGAUAACUAUUGGAAACGAUAGCUAAUACCGCAUAAUAUUAAUUAUUGCAUGAUAAUUAAUUGAAAGGUGCAAUUGCACCACUACCAGAUGGACCUGCGUUGUAUUAGCUAGUAGGUGAGGUAACGGCUCACCUAGGCGACGAUACAUAGCCGACCGGAGGGGGUGGCCGCCCACAGUGGGAAGGAGACACGGCCCAGCACCAUGCGGGGGGGAGCAGGGGGGAAUCUCGGGAAAGGGACGAAAUCCUGACCGGGCAACGCGGGGGGAGGGAAGAGUGUUUGGGGAUGGUAAAGCUUUGUUGAAAGAGAAGAAGGGGGGGGAGGGGGAAAAUUUCACACUGUGAGGGUAUUUAACCAAAAAGGGACGGCUAAUUACGUC